CAAUUUACCCCAUUAACUCUUAAUAUAAAACUUAAAAACAAAAUCAAAUUUUCAUUUCCAUCCUCAUAAACCGAUUCUUCUCUUCUUCUUCUCCCUUUUUUUCCAUUUUAUUGAAACCAAAGCAUCGUCAUUAUCGACGAUCCAAAAGUGAUUAAUCGUUUUCUUCUUCUAUAAAACGAAGAAAAAACAAGAUUGAAGCAUUCUACUAACAAGAAAUUUCCUAGUGAGAAUAAUCCCGGAAUUGUUGAAGCAAUUCGAAACAAAACCAAGAAAAUGGUUGGGGAAGUUGAACAAUCUUUGAUCUCAUAAGAGGAGGAACUAGGUUGAAUCAGGCCAAAUAAGGAAAAACAACAAAAGCAAGCCGAAAAGAAAUAUAAGGGGAAAAAUGACUUUGAUUCUCCUCAGAUUUCGGGACCUCAUCGAGAGGGUGGUAAAAAUUUGAAUGCUUCCCACAGAAGGGGCUCGGGGACUAAAGCCAAAGCGAUCCACAUCAAUGACCCACCGCCUCAAGCGGAGCAACCAACACAAGAAGAAUCUGAUUCUGAUAUACAUACUGAAGAAGGAGGUGGUCAUAGAGAAGUUGCUGAAGAAUAAAGUGGCGAGGAGGAGAUCAAUGAACAAUAAACUAGUGGCAAUGAAGGCGGUGAAGAAGAAAUUGGUGGUAAGCAAGGUGAUGAGGAAGAAAGUGAGGAAGGUGAUGAAGAAGAAAAUGAGGAUGAUGGAGAAGAAAGUGAGGAUGAAGGUGAUAGAAAGAUAGCAUAAGUUCAAGAACAAGUCCAAGGGGGAGACGCUCAAGAACAAGUCCAAGGAGGAGACGCUGCUCAAGAACAAGGUAAGACAGAUGGUAAGAACGAUAGUCCAAAGAAUAAGAAAGGGGACCAUAUGCCCGACCCGGAGAAGAUGUUUCCUCGUAGCCCUAAUGAUCCUGUGAAAGGGUUAUCCGGUGAUGAAGGACAGGUGUUAUGGGGGUACAAAGAGAGUUGGGUCGCGGUCGUCUGUCAUACCAUAGAUCACAGGGAUGUCGUUCACCGUAUGAAGCCAGGAACGUCAGUUAGUAUGAUGAGGCAAUGGCCAUUGGAAGGAGUGAAAUAUACGACGUUGUACCUACGUGCUCGGAGGUUCAUUGAUGAACAUUUGAUGUGUCAAAUUCUAGAAUACCGAUACU